rnacentral:rRNA from 1 species
GAGUUUGAUCUUGGCUCAGAUUGAACGCUGGCGGCAUGCUUUACACAUGCAAGUCGAACGGCAGCACGGGGUUUACCCUGGUGGCGAGUGGCGAACGGGUGAGGAAUACAUCGGAACGUGUCUAUAAGUGGGGGAUAACGCAUCGAAAGGUGUGCUAAUACCGCAUAAUCUCUCAGGAGAAAAGCAGGGGAUCGCAAGACCUUGCGCUUUAGGAGCGGCCGAUGCCUGAUUAGCUUGUUGGUAAGGUAAAAGCUUACCAAGGCUUCGAUCAGUAGCUGGUCUGAGAGGACGACCAGCCACACUGGGACUGAGACACGGCCCAGACUCCUACGGGAGGCAGCAGUGGGGAAUUUUGGACAAUGGGGGAAACCCUGAUCCAGCCAUGCCGCGUGAGUGAAGAAGGCCUUCGGGUCGUAAAGCUCUUUUAUGGGGAAGAUGAUGACGGUACCCCAUGAAUAAGCACCGGCUAACUACGUGCCAGCAGCCGCCGUAAC